rnacentral:rRNA from 1 species
GUCUACGGCCACGACACCCUGAACAAGCCCGAUCCCGUCUGAUCUCGGAAGUAAGCAGGGUCAGGCCUGGUUAGUACUUGGAUGGGAGACCACCUAGGAAUGCCAGGUGCUGUAGGCA